UUUCUGCAGAAGAUAAGGCUUCAGGAGUGAAGAAUAAGAUUACCAUCACCAAUGACAAGGGAAGACUGGGCAAGGAUGAUAUUGAGAGAAUGGUGCAAGAGGCAGAGAGAUACAAAGCAGAGGAUGAGAAAGUGAAGAAGAAGGUGGAGGCCAAGAAUGCCCUGGAGAACUACGCUUACAAUAUGAGGAAUACAGUGAGAGAUGACAAGGUUGGUGGUAAGUUGGACCCGGCCGACAAGCAGAAGAUUGAGAAGGAGAUUGAGGAGACAAUUGACUGGCUAGACAGGAAUCAAUUGGCAGAAGUAGAUGAAUUUGAG
rnacentral:lncRNA from 1 species